GAUGAACGCUGGCGGCGUGCUUAACACAUGCAAGUCGAACGGAAAGGCUCCUGCUUGCCGGGGUACUCGAGUGGCGAACGGGUGAGUAACACGUGGGUGAUCUGUCCUGCACUUCGGGAUAUGCCUGGGAAACUGGGUCUCAUACCGGCUAGGACGUUGGUUUGGAUGCCAUUGUGGAGUGUUUUUCGGUGUGGGAUGAGCUCGCGGCCUAUCAGCUUGUUGGUGGGGUAAUGGCCUACCAAGGCGUCGACGGGUAGCCGGCCUGAGAGGGGGGACGGCCACAUUAGGACUGAGAUAAGGCCCAGACUCGUACGGGAGGCAGGAGUGGAGAAGAUAGCACAAUAGGCGGAAGCCAGAUGCAGCGACGCCGCGUGGGGGAUGACGGCCUUCGGGUUGUAAACUACUGUCGCUAUAGACGAAGCGCUAGUGACGGUACCUGGAGAAGAAGCACCGGCUAACUACGUG
rnacentral:rRNA from 1 species